ACUGAGUGGCGGACGGGUGAGUAACGCGUGGGUAACCUGCCCUGUACAGGGGGACAACAGUUAGAAAUGACUGCUAAUACCGCAUAAGCGCACAGGACCGCAUGGUCCGGUGUGAAAAACUCCGGUGGUACAGGAUGGACCCGCGUCUGAUUAGGUAGUUGGCGGGGUAACGGCCCACCAAGCCGACGAUCAGUAGCCGACCUGAGAGGGUGACCGGCCACAUUGGGACUGAGACACGGCCCAAACUCCUACGGGAGGCAGCAG
rnacentral:rRNA from 1 species